CAAAAUUACCUUCUUACUCAUUAAUGUCUUUUCAGUUCUCCAAAAUGUCUUUAUUAUCUUCUUUCCUUGUCACAUACUAUUUAAUACUCAAUUACAAUUAUUGAUUUGGGCACUGGUAUAGGAGGAAUUAUGUUCCUCAAAAAGACCUUGAAGUCCUAACACCCCUAGCACCUGUGAAUGUCACUUUAUUUGGAAAUAGGGUCUCGGAUCAAAUUACAGUGAGGUCAUUAGAGUGAGGCCUAAUUCAAGAUGACAGUGUUCUUAUAUAAAGGUCGUAUUUGGACACAGGGGCAGACACAGGAAGAAUGCUAUGUGGAGACUGGAAUUAUGGGGCACAAGCCAAGGAACUACCUGAAACCAGGAUUUAGUGCUUUUAACGCCUGCAGGCAAAAAUCUGCCAAACUUCUCUUGGAUGCAAGCACCUGAGAAGUUGAAAUUGCUCAAGGAGCACUUUCUGCGUGCCAGGAGGGGAUUUGGAGAUUUCUAAAAGCUAAGAAAAGCCUAAAAUCCAGUCUGAAAUUUUUGUAUCUUCUUUCUCAGAUAAAUUCUUCUCUAAGGUCCCAGCGCUUUUUAUUGCAUAGAUCUGUUUUUACUUCUUUUAAAGGUAAAAGUUAGGGUAUUGUAUACAUCUAUCUUAAUUAACCCCAAAACAGACAUUUGUAAAACUGUUGCAUUCUAUAUAGAAAAGCUAAUUGUCCAUAUGCAUCGAGUGAUUGUCCAUAUGCAUUUUCUAGUGGCAGUUCUGCCCAAGAUAACAGGAAAUUAAUGUUCAUUUGAUUUUUAAUCUGUAUGAUAGGCUAUAGCCCAAUAGCAAAAAGAAAAGGAACUUAAAUGAUGUAUUUUUGUACUGCAACCAGGAUGCCUUGAUACAUACACACGUACACACAAACACACACACAAAGGCUGAAUAAUGGCCCCAAAAUGUUCUGCCCUACCCCAUAACCUGUGAAUAUAUAUUAUUUUACCAGGCAAAAGGGCUUUGUGGAUACAACUAAAUUAAGGCUCUUGAUUUUCUUGGAUUAUGUGGAUUAUCAGGAUGGGCCCCUUGUAAUCAGAAGGGUCCUUAUAAAGGGAGGCAUGAGUGUCAAUCAGAGAAGUUAUGAUAAUGGAAGCAGAGUCAGGGAGAGUUUGAAGAUGCUGUGCUGCUGGCUUUGAAUAUGGAAGAGGGAGGCAGAAGCCAAGGCAUACAGGCAACCUCUAGAAACUAGAAAAAUACAAGGAACGGGAUUCUCCCCUAAAGCCUUGAGGGGGAAUGCAUUUCUGCAGAUGCAUUUUAGAUUUCUUCUCUCAAGAAUUGUCGG
rnacentral:lncRNA from 1 species